rnacentral:rRNA from 1 species
UACGAAGGGGGCUAGCGUUGUUCGGAAUCACUGGGCGUAAAGCGCACGCAGGCGGAUUGUUAAGUCAGGGGUGAAAUCCCGGAGCUCAACUUCGGAAUUGCCUUUGAUACUGUCUGUCUUGAGUCCGGGAGAGGUGAGUGGAAUUCCUAGUGUAGAGGUGAAAUUCGUAGAUAUUAGGAAGAACACCAGUGGCGAAGGCGGCUCACUGGCCCGGUACUGACGCUCAUGUGCGAAAGCGUGGGGAGCAAACAGG